AAGUCUUAUAGUCAAUAAUGAUUUCAAAUUGCAAAUUUGAAGGUGAUACUAUAUCUAAGGCUUA
rnacentral:tRNA from 1 species